UACAGAGGUCUCGAGCGUUGUUCGGAUUCAUUGGGCGUAAAGGGUGCGUAGGUGGUAUGGUAAGUCGGAUGUGAAAUCCCGGGGCUCAACCCCGGAACUGCAUUCGAUACUGCCGUGCUUGAGUACUGGAGAGGAGAUCGGAAUUUACGGUGUAGCAGUGAAAUGCGUAGAUAUCGUAAGGAAGACCAGUGGCGAAGGCGGAUCUCUGGACAGUUACUGACACUGAGGCACGAAGGCCAGGGGAGCAAAACGGG
rnacentral:rRNA from 1 species